rnacentral:sRNA from 13 species
GCUGGGCAUGGUGGCGCGUGCCUGUAAUCCCAGCUACUCGGGAGGCUGAGGCAGGAGAAUUGCCUGAACCCAGGAGGCGGGGGUGCGGUGAGCCGAGAUGGCGCCAUUGCACUCCAGCCUGGGUAACAAGAGCGAAACUCCGUCUCAA